UACGAAGGGUGCAAGCGUUACUCGGAAUUACUGGGCGUAAAGCGUGCGUAGGUGGUCUGUUAAGUCUGAUGUGAAAGCCCUGGGCUCAACCUGGGAAUUGCAUUGGAUACUGGCAGACUAGGAGUGCGGGGAGAGGAAAGUGGAAUUCCGUGGUGAUAGCGGUGAAAUGCGAUAGAUAUCAGGAGGGAACACCGGUUGGUGUAGCACGGCUUCUGGACCGUAACU
rnacentral:rRNA from 1 species